rnacentral:rRNA from 1 species
CAGCCGCCGCGGUAAUACGAAGGGUGCAAGCGUUACUCGGAAUUACUGGGCGUAAAGCGUGCGUAGGUGGUGGUUUAAGUCCGUUGUGAAAGCCCUGGGCUCAACCUGGGAAUUACAGUGGAUACUGGGUCACUAGAGUGUGGUAGAGGAUAGUGGAAUUUCCGGUGUAGCAGUGAAAUGCGUAGAGAUCGGAAGGAACAUCUGUGGCGAAGGCGACUAUCUGGGCCAACACUGACACUGAGGCACGAAAGCGUGGGGAGCAAACAGGAUUAGAUACCCGUGUAGUCCCUGUCUCUUAUAC